rnacentral:rRNA from 1 species
AGAGUUUGAUCAUGGCUCAGAAUCAACGCUGGCGGCGCGCCUAACACAUGCAAGUCGAACGAGAAAGUGGAGCAAUCCAUGAGUACAGUGGCGUACGGGUGAGUAACACGUGGGUAAUCUACCUUUUAGUGAGGAAUAACCGAGGGAAACUUCGGCUAAUACCGCAUAAGCCUGAGAAGGGAAAGCAGAAAUGCGCUGAAAGAGGAGCCCGCGGCCGAUUAGCUAGUUGGUGAGGUAAGAGCCCACCAAGGCAGAGAUCGGUAGCCGGCCUGAGAGGGCACACGGCCACACUGGCACUGAAACACGGGCCAGACUCCUACGGGAGGCAGCAGUGGGGAAUCUUGCACAAUGGGGGAAACCCUGAUGCAGCGACGCCGCGUGAGCGAUGAAGCCCUUCGGGGUGUAAAGCUCUUUCGUCAGGGAAGAUAGUGACGGUACCUGGAGAAGCAGCUGCGGCUAACUACGUGCCAGCAGCCGCGGUAAUACGUAGGCAGCAAGCGUUGUUCGGAGUUACUGGGCGUAAAGGGUGUGUAGGCGGUUCUUUAAGUUUGCUGUGAAAUCUCCCGGCUUAACCGGGAGGGUGCGAUGAAUACUGAGGGACUAGAGUACGGGAGAGGAAAGUGGAAUUCCUGGUGUAGCGGUGAAAUGCGUAGAUAUCAGGAGGAACACCGGUGGUGUAGACGGCUUUCUGGACCGACACUGACGCUGAGACACGAAAGCGUGGGUAGCAAACAGGAUUAGAUACCCUAGUAGUCC